UUGAAGUCAACAACGUUGAUGAUUUCGCUCCAGUGUGGUAUAAAUACCGCGCUUUUUAACGACACACACGUUUCGUCACAUACGGUGGGGUCCCAUUGUGGGUACCGUAUGGGAGACGUGGAGGCUUAACC
rnacentral:sRNA from 1 species